GAUGAAGAACGCAGCGAAAUGCGAUACGUAGUGUGAAUUGCAGAAUUCUGAGAAUCAUCGAAUCUUUGAACGCACAUUGCGCCCUUUGGUAUUCCGAAGGGCAUGCCUGUCCGAGCGUCAUUUUAAUCAUCAAGCUUCAGCUUGGUCUUGGAAGUGGUUAUUUUAAACCUUUCCGCAACUAAACGGCGUUUCCGUCCAAUCUUAAGCGUAGCAGAAAUACUCGUUUAAAGAUCUUGAUGGUAAACUUGCCAAAUAAGAAAACUUUAUUCUUUUGACCUCGGAUCAGGUAGGGAUACCCGCUGAACUUAAGCAUAUCAAUAAGCGGAGGA
rnacentral:misc_RNA from 1 species